AUUAGAGUUUGAUCCUGGCUCAGAUUGAACGCUGGCGGCAUGCUUUACACAUGCAAGUCGAACGGUAACAGGUUAAGCUGACGAGUGGCGAACGGGUGAGUAAUGCAUCGGAACGUGCCCGGUCGUGGGGGAUAACGCAGCGAAAGCUGCGCUAAUACCGCAUACGAUCUGAGGAUGAAAGCGGGGGACCGUAAGGCCUCGCGCGAUCGGAGCGGCCGACGUCAGAUUAGGUAGUUGGUGGGGUAAAGGCUCACCAAGCCGACGAUCUGUAGCUGGUCUGAGAGGACGACCAGCCACACUGGGACUGAGACACGGCCCAGACUCCUACGGGAGGCAGCAGUGGGGAAUUUUGGACAAUGGGCGCAAGCCUGAUCCAGCAAUGCCGCGUGCAGGAAGAAGGCCUUCGGGUUGUAAACUGCUUUUGUACGGAGCGAAAAGGCUUCCUCUAAUACAGGGGGUCCAUGACGGUACCGUAAGAAUAAGCACCGGCUAACUACGUGCCAGCAGCCGCGGUAAUAAU
rnacentral:rRNA from 1 species